UACGGGGGGGGCAAGCGUUGUUCGGAAUUACUGGGCGUAAAGGGCUCGUAGGUUGCCAACUAAGUCAGACGUGAAAUCCCUCGGCUUAACCGGGGAACUGCGUCUGAUACUGGAUGGCUUGAGUUCGGGAGAGGGAUGCGGAAUUCCAGGUGUAGCGGUGAAAUGCGUAGAUAUCUGGAGGAACACCGGUGGCGAAGGCGGCAUCCUGGACCGACACUGACGCUGAGGCGCGAAAGCCAGGGGAGCAAACGGG
rnacentral:rRNA from 1 species